UAUUGGACAAUGGGCGCAAGCCUGAUCCAGCCAUGCCUCGUGAGUGAUGAAGGCCUUAGGGUUGUAAAGCUCUUUUGUCCGGGACGAUAAUGACGGUACCGGAAGACUAAGCCCCGGCUAACUUCGCGCCAGCAGUCGCGGUUAUACGAAGGGGGCUAGCGUUGCUCGGAAUCACUGGGCGUAAAGGGCGCGUAGGCGGCCGAUUAAGUCGGGGGUGAAAGCCUGUGGCUCAACCACAGAAUUGCCUUCGAUACUGGUUGGCUUGAAACCGGAAGAGGACAGCGGAACUGCGAGUGUAGAGGUGAAAUUCGUAGAUAUUCGCAAGAACACCAGUGGCGUAGGCGGCUGUCUGGUCCGGUUCUGACGCUGAGGCGCGAAAGCGUGGGGAGCAAACAGG
rnacentral:rRNA from 1 species